AAUAACUAUCAAAAAAAUUACAAAAUCAUCAGUAAGGUUUUAUAAUAUCGAUGUGCUGAAAGUAUUUGCAUAAGCGAAAGAUUUUAUAAUAUCAAUAUAGAAGUGCUCAUCUAGUGCAGACUGGUUUUUGCUGGGGCACAGGUAAUGUUUAUUCUAUCAACUUGACUAGCAGCCCAUGGAUUUCAGAUACGACUUUGAAUAUGCUGUCCGCUGCUCUGAAUUAUGAUAAUUGUAAUGAUAAAAUCAAAGCGGCUGAUCCGAUCGAUCGCUGAUGAUAGGUGUUGUGGGAUGGGGUUCUCAGUUUAGUCCCACAUCGGCUAAUCAGCGGAAAGGUCUGUGCCUUAAAUGGGGGGCUCAAUAACCUCUCCUUACCGAGGGCUUAGGCCCUGUGGUACUGAGGGCCCCUCUAAGGAGGGACAAAACCGUGCGGGGGUGUCACGCCCCGAACCCGAACCUAGGCCCGGGACGCGCCAGACGCCGCACACCCGCACGGCGGACCGCACGGGCGUGCAAGGCUGAAUAAUCAGACACUCAAGUCGCAACAUCAGAUCACAAUAUCAAUACUAAAAAUCCAUCAUUUAUGAUAAUCAAAUCAAUAAUUCAAUUUCAAAUGUCUCAAAUAAAGUUGAUAACAUUUAUUUACAAGAUCAAUUACUUAUGACAAAAUGAAUCUAAAUCUAUCUAUGUCCAGUGUCAUAAGUCCUCUCCUCCCGAAUCCCCCAUCAAUCAUCUCCUGCAAUUAUGUCAAAAACAGGUAUGN
rnacentral:lncRNA from 1 species